GGCAGACAGGACAUGGCACAAUCAGGUGUCAGGAGAAUUGGGUGUGCUGAGCCAUGGGCAAAACCAGGCUGUCACAAGCAAGACCUGCAAAAGGCCAUGAAUUUCACGACCUCUACUGCUGCCAGGUUAUAGAGCCAGGGAUUGCCUGCAGAAGAUCUCAUGAAGAUCCAUUCAGAUGCCAUGUGUAUACAAACCUACCUGAAGACCUACUGCUGGUGGAUCCAAUGCCCCUGUGCUAAAGAUGGAAGCCUAGCUUGGAGGCAAAGUGCAUGGGGUGGUGGCCAGACAUCCACAAGGAUACGUCACAAAGGAAAGCUGGGACUGUGAUUUGGGAGCUUGAAGUCAAUACUUGAAUCAUCAGCGUGGACCAAGUUGAAGCUUGUUCGUGAGAAAAUCUGAUUAAACAUAGAGGGAGAAGAGAAGGGGGGGCAGGAUAAAGCUGUGUUCUUUAAGGUCCCUUCUAACCCAAGCCAUUCUGUGGUUCUAUGAAAGCUGGAAAGCCAGCAGGGAUCCUCCAGAGGAGAUGCUCGCAGCUGGCAUGCCACCAGAGAGACACAGGAACAGCCAGCAUGCACUGCUGGUGGGGCCUAGAUCAGACAGAAGCUAGGUCCACAGCAGCCACCAGCACUUGAAUCUUGACAAGGCUUGGCCUCUGUCCUGCCUGGGCCUCAGUUAGAUGCUGACUCCCAUGUCCUCUCCUUCCCUGACAGCUAUUUCUGCCUGCAGAGAAGCACCUGUCAGCAGGCUGCACCACGUACCUGAUGGGUACAACUGUGGGCUUUCAGACCCCACAGCCUUCCUCAAUCUGUUUCGACAACCAGCUCCCCAGCCUCCUGCACUGCAAGCUGCAUGGAUUAUUAGCACAGUGUGUCAAAGUAAAUAUAUCGUGCAAACUUCACCAACCCACAUAGAUUAGAUGGGGUUCGCCCUGCCUACUCUAAGUAAGUUUGAUGUGCAUGAUGCCUUGGUUGACUGUAAUACCUCCUGGUAGAGUGAUCCUGUAGUAAUACUGACAGGGAGCUGUAGCAGGGUGGGAUAUUACCAUCACCAACCACCUGCCUCUGCCAAAGGUGUAUCUGAAGCAGUCUGCAAAACUCAGAGUGGGCCCCAGCACCAGGGCUUGGCUCCUGUGAGCACGUCAGCCAGUGUGAAGGGGAUGCUUCCCAUUCCCUCAGCUGUGCUGGCUGCAUUGGGAUACAUCUCCACAUGCCUCCAGAAAGAGAGGAUGGGCAGAGUCUGCAGUCCUGGCCCAGCAGCCUUUUUUGCCAGCCACACCAAUAAAUCAAUACCUGCUGUUUCUGCAAGACCAGUUCCUCAUGCCCGAUCCACUACAUGAAUGCAGUGAGUUGUAAUGAUUUCCUAAAACCAUCAUUCAGUGAAGCCCGGAGUAAAAUACCUCUUGUCCUUCUCUACGAUCCUUCAGUCCUCAGCUAUGUGAAUAUGAUGUUUUUAAACAGGCACUUUCCCGUGACACUGUUUAGAAAUGUUCUCCACAACGAGUCACGCUCUGAUUUACAGCCGCACUUCUGCUUUCAGCAUCUCUGUCUAAAAGCCUGUCUCACAGGUUUGAUUUGCGUGUGGCAUGCGGUGCCCAGCAGCACCUUGCUAAUCGGUGCAUCACUGGAGGGCCCGGAGCAUGCUGAGCAGUUUCGUCAUCACUGGUUCAGGUGCAAGCAGAGUUGUGUAAGAGUUUAACCAAUCUGACAGCACAUCUAUGAAAUGGGGAGUGGAUGGACACAUGGCUCGUGUUUAUUCAGGUCUUCCCAGGCUGAUGCUGACCUACAACGGGAGCAGGGCAGGGCAGAGUUUUGCCCCUAGAUAGAUAGAGUUUUGCAGAGUUUUGGGGGCAGAGUUUUGCCCCAAGAUAGAUACAUUCAGGCUGAAUAUUUGGGAAAAUAUCUUCUCAGAAAGAGUGAUGAUGCA